rnacentral:tRNA from 1 species
UCCCUGGAGGACUAGUGGUUAGGCCUUGGCGCUCUCACCGCCAUGGCGCAGGUUCGAUUCCCAGCCAGGGAA